GUCGCAUUUCGGAAGAGCAAGGACGAUGCCGUUUCGGACUUUUUGUUCUUUCUACUCAAUCUCCCUCCAAAAUCUCCCUCCGUCCGUUCUCCUGAACUGUUGCCUCGACUCCCCAGCGAAGAACCCACCAAUCAGCCAACUGGUUCGCCCAAACCCGGUUGUGGAAAAACCCUAAAACCCACGUCCCUCCAUGGCCUUGACAUCUCGCACUUAUGGCGUCACCGGACGGAUCCGAACCGCCACAUCCAAUCUCCACGAGGACAACCAGUCUCUUAUCUCCAUAUUGGGAAAGCUUUCAGUUUGAUGAAGAAAAUUGCAGUUGAUUUUGAAAGGGCUAAGCAGUUUGAGAGGGUCACAGGUGAAAGAGCUCGAAAAUGCCGUUGAAUUGGUGGAUACUUAUGAAGACCGUUCGCAUUUUUCGUCAGCAAUUGAAUCUGUUGGAGUUAUAUACCAACCUGGGCCAGAGAUAUGGUUAUUUGAUGUUGAUGGACCAGCUUACUGAUUUUGAUAAGUUGUUCAAGAAUGAGGUUGCACAGCUGAAGGCAAACUCAUCUUCAGUUCCCCAAAACCAUCCGCUAAUGCGUGAAUUCCGGGAAGCUGUCUGGUUACAGGAUUGUUGCAAUCUUUCUAUGACUCUGGUAUAAAAAUAUAAAGUGGAAGUAGCGGAAAGUAAGUUCUUAUGAAACUGAUUUCGUCAUAAUGUUCUUGUUUGUUGGGCAAUUGUUUAUAGUUUCGUAGAACUUUUAACAGUAAAUCUGCAAAAGAGCAGAGACUUACUGGGAAACAACACACGCUGCCCUGUUGCAGCUUGCCCUGCGAAAUUGCAGCUAGAUAAAGUGAAGCAUGAUCCAUUGUUGGCUGCGGAGAUUGAUGACUUGCGUAAAAUUCAAAAUCAGAGUGUCAUGACUGAUGUGAUGGAUGUCACCGAGUUUGAAGAGUAAUUGGAUGAUUUCGGGAUGUGAAAAGUCUCAAAAACAACAUUUCAGCUUGGCUAUUUCGACAUGCUUGUAGGUCGUCGUGAAGCAGCCAUGUGCAUUCUGUAGAAUGGUUUUGUGUAGAGUGACCUGUUUUGAUGAUAUUGCAGAUGUUGUAGUUGAAAGCACUUCCAGUUCCUUGUAUUCAAUAUCAGAUACUGGAGGUGAUUCAAUUUUCAA